rnacentral:rRNA from 1 species
AGUGAACGCUGGCGGUAGGCCUAACACAUGCAAGUCGAACGGCAGCACAGUAAGAGCUUGCUCUUACGGGUGGCGAGUGGCGGACGGGUGAGGAAUACAUCGGAAUCUACUUUUUCGUGGGGGAUAACGUAGGGAAACUUACGCUAAUACCGCAUACGACCUACGGGUGAAAGCAGGGGAUCUUCGGACCUUGCGCGAUUGAAUGAGCCGAUGUCGGAUUAGCUAGUCGGCGGGGUAAAGGCCCACCAAGGCGACGAUCCGUAGCUAGUCUGAGAGGAUGAUCAGCCACACUGGAACUGAGACACGGUCCAGACUCCUACGGGAGGCAGCAGUGGGGAAUAUUGGACAAUGGGCGCAAGCCUGAUCCAGCCAUACCGCGUGGGUGAAGAAGGCCUUCGGGUUGUAAAGCCCUUUUGUUGGGAAAGAAAAGCAGCAGGUUAAUACCCCGCUGUUCUGACGGUACCCAAAGAAUAAGCACCGGCUAACUUCGUG